GGGCAUUGACUCUUUUCUUUUUUUCUUGCAAGAUUAUUAUAUAAUUUGUGAAAAAUUUCCAAAAAUCUUACAGCACCUGGUAUUACUAGGCAGUCCCCCAUCCAAGUACUAACCAGGCCCAAAUCUGCUUAGCUUCCGAGCUCAGACAUGAUCUGGCAUAGCCAGGUUGGUAUGGCCAUAAGCGAAGACUGCUGCAAAGAGAGGGCUAUUUAAAGAUCAGCCAAUCUAAUCGCCGGUACAUCAUAUAAGUAGGAAAGAAAACCCUAAACCUUAAAGCACCUGGUAUUCCCAGGCGGUCUCCUAUCCAAGUACCAACCAGGGCC